GGUUCCUGAAGUUCCCAAAGUUGAGAAUGCCGUUGUUGAGGGCGAGGAAGACUCUGAGCACACCACUGAACACGAUGAUUUUUUCGAUGACGACGAUGACGACGAUGAGGAUGAAACUACUGCCUUGACCACUGAAGCACCAAAAGGCUUGGAAGGCAAAUGGAACAAGCUGAAGAACAAGUGGAACAAGAUAAUCCAGAAGGAAAAGGGCAAGUGGAGCCAUCUUAAAGGACAGAGCAAGGAGGCCUACGAAGCCCUUAAGAAGAAGUGGGAGAGCAUCAGAGAAAAAGGUCUGAAGUUCAUCGAUGAGGCUAACAAAACUUACGACGAAGUUAAGACUCAGGGUAAAGAAGCUGUUGCCGAAUUCAAAGAAAUCUACAAGACCGUCAAGGAAACCUGGGCUGAACUUAAGAAAACUGGUAUCGAAGCUUACACCGACGUCAAGGAAUUGCUUGCUGAGCUCAAGAAGGCCGCUGAGGAAGCCAAGGAGAAAUACGGUUCCGUAGCCAAGAUCGCCGGUAAAAUGUGAUGAUUGAUAAAAUAUAAUCUUGAAAUCUUGUAUGAUAUCGUAUAAUGUCAAA